UACAGAGGUCUCAAGCGUUGUUCGGAUUCAUUGGGCGUAAAGGGUGCGUAGGCGGCGCGGUAAGUCGGGUGUGAAAUCUCGGAGCUUAACUCCGAAACUGCAUUCGAUACUGCCGUGCUUGAGGACUGGAGAGGAGACUGGAAUUCCUGGUGUAGCGGUGAAAUGCGCAGAUAUCAGGAGGAACACCGGUGGCGAAGGUGGGUCUCUGGGCAGUAACUGACGCUGAGGAGCGAAAGCGUGGGGAGCGAACAGG
rnacentral:rRNA from 1 species